CUUGCUUCUUUGCUGACGAGCGGCGGACGGGUGAGUAAUGCUUGGGAACAUGCCUUGAGGUGGGGGACAACAGUUGGAAACGACUGCUAAUACCGCAUAAUGUCUACGGACCAAAGGGGGCUUCGGCUCUCGCCUUUAGAUUGGCCCAAGUGGGAUUAGCUAGUUGGUGAGGUAAUGGCUCACCAAGGCGACGAUCCCUAGCUGGUUUGAGAGGAUGAUCAGCCACACUGGGACUGAGACACGGCCCAGACUCCUACGGGAGGCAGCAGUGGGGAAUAUUGCACAAUGGGCGCAAGCCUGAUGCAGCCAUGCCGCGUGUGUGAAGAAGGCCUUCGGGUUGUAAAGCACUUUCAGUCAGGAGGAAAGCGUGGUGGUUAAUACCCAUCAUGUGUGACGUUACUGACAGAAGAAGCACCGGCUAACUCCGUGCCAGCAGCCGCGGUAAUACGGAGGGUGCGAGCGUUAAUCGGAAUUACUGGGCGUAAAGCGUACGCAGGCGGUUUGUUAAGCGAGAUGUGAAAGCCCCGGGCUCAACCUGGGAACUGCAUUUCGAACUGGCAAACUAGAGUGUGAUAGAGGGUGGUAGAAUUUCAGGUGUAGCGGUGAAAUGCGUAGAGAUCUGAAGGAAUACCGAUGGCGAAGGCAGCCACCUGGGUCAACACUGACGCUCAUGUACGAAAGCGUGGGGAGCAAACGGGAUUAGAUACCCCGGUAGUCCACGCCGUAAACGAUGUCUACUAGAAGCUCGGAGCCUCGGUUCUGUUUUUCAAAGCUAACGCAUUAAGUAGACCGCCUGGGGAGUACGGCCGCAAGGUUAAAACUCAAAUGAAUUGACGGGGGCCCGCACAAGCGGUGGAGCAUGUGGUUUAAUUCGAUGCAACGCGAAGAACCUUACCUACACUUGACAUACAGAGAACUUACCAGAGAUGGUUUGGUGCCUUCGGGAACUCUGAUACAGGUGCUGCA
rnacentral:rRNA from 1 species